CCACCGCGGUUAUACGAGAGGCCCAAGUUGACAAACACCGGCGUAAAGCGUGGUUAAGUAAAAACUCACACUAAAGCCAAACAUCUUCCAGGCUGUUAUACGCAACCGAAGACAGGAAGUUCAACCACGAAAGUGGCUUUAUCUAAUCUGAACCCACGAAAGCUAAGGAACAAACUGGGAUUAGAUACCCCACUAUGCCUAGCCCUAAACAUUGAUAGUACUAUACACCCACUAUCCGCCCGGGAACUACGAGCAAUAGCUUAAAACCCAAAGGACUUGGCGGUGCUUUAGAUCCACCUAGAGGAGCCUGUUCUAGAACCGAUAACCCCCGUUCAACCUCACCCUUCCUUGUUUAACCCGCCUAUAUACCGCCGUCGUCAGCUUACCCUGUGAGGGACUAAUAGUAAGCAAAACUGGCACAGCCUAAAACGUCAGGUCGAGGUGUAGCGUAUGGAGGGGGAAGAAAUGGGCUACAUUCGCUAUUACAGCGAAUACGAAUGAUGCACUGAAACGUUCAUCUGAAGGAGGAUUUAGCAGUAAGCAGGAAAUAGAGCGUCCAGCUGAAAUUGGCCCUGAAGCGCGCACACACCGCCCGUCACUCUCCCCAAAGACGCAAAUCAAUUAACUAAAACCUAAUAAUUAAAAAGGGGAGGCAAGUCGUAACAUGGUAAGCG
rnacentral:rRNA from 1 species